AUUUGAGAGGAAAAAUAUCGGUCCUCAUGAGAUGCAUACCAAUUGAACAAAUCUCCCUGAUUUGAAUCUGUCUAUUGAACAGGCUAGGAGAGAAGAUCAACGAGCGUAUGAAGAUUCUCCAAGAUCUGGUUCCUGGAUGGAAUAAGGUGAUUGGCAAAGCAUCGGUGCUUGAUGAGAUAAUAAAUUACAUUCAACCACUACAGCGCCAGGUCGAGUUUUUGUCAAUGAAACUUGAAGCCGUCAAUUCAAGAAUUAACGCAAGC